rnacentral:rRNA from 1 species
AUACGAUAUCGAUUAUGUCGAAUAAAGUUCUAGUAGAAAAUUGAUUAUGACGAAUUUCUAUCUAUGUGUCUUGACCAAAUUACGUGCCAGCAGUCGCGGUAAUACGUAGAAGACUAGUGUUAUUCAUCUUUAUUAGGUUUAAAGGGUACCUAGACGGUACUACUAGCCCAAAACAGGGUACGGUAUUGCUAGAGUUUUAUAAGAGAGGGGGAGUAUUUAUGGAGUAGAGAUGAAAUUUGUUGAUACCAUAACGACUGAUAACGGCGAAAGCGACCUUCUAUGCAAUAACUGACGUUGAGGGACGAAGGCUUGGGUAGCAAACAGGAUUAGAUACCCUAGUAGUCCAAGCAGAAAAUUAUGAAUGCCAUAGGCAAAAUCUAACUUUGUUUAUAAAUGAAAGUGUAAGCAUUUCACCUUAAGAGUAAUGCGGCAACGCAGGAACUGAAAUCAUUAGACCGUUUCUGAAACCAGUAGUGAAGUAUGUUAUUUAAUUCGAUGAUCCUCGAAAAACCUUACCACAAUUUGAAUAUUACCUUAUUAAGGUAUUACAAGCGUUGCACGGCUGUCUUCAGUUAAUGUCGUGAGAUUUUGGUUAGUUCCAUAAAAUUAACGAAAACCCUUGCUCUAUUUAUACUAUAAAUUUAUAGGGCUGUUCACCACCAUAUUGGAAAUGAUAACAGGGACCAAGACAAGUCAUCAUGGCCUGAAUAUUGUGGGCUA